AAGGCAACGAUCAGUAGGGGUUCUGAGAGGAAGGUCCCCCACAUUGGAACUGAGACACGGUCCAAACUCCUACGGGAGGCAGCAGUGAGGAAUAUUGGUCAAUGGGCGAGAGCCUGAACCAGCCAAGUAGCGUGCAGGAAGACGGCCCUAUGGGUUGUAAACUGCUUUUAUAAGGGAAUAAAGUUAGUCUCGUGAGACUUUUUGCAUGUACCUUAUGAAUAAGGACCGGCUAAUUCCGUGCCAGCAGCCGCGGUAAUACGGAAGGUCCGGGCGUUAUCCGGAUUUAUUGGGUUUAAAGGGAGCGUAGGCCGGAGAUUAAGCGUGUUGUGAAAUGUAGACGCUCAACGUCUGCACUGCAGCGCGAACUGGUUUCCUUGAGUAGGCACAAAGUGGGCGGAAUUCGUGGUGUAGCGGUGAAAUGCUUAGAUAUCACGAAGAACUCCGAUUGCGAAGGCAGCUCACUGGAGCGCAACUGACGCUGAAGCUCGAAAGUGCGGGUAUCGAACAGGAUUAGAUACCCUGGUAGUCCGCACGGUAAACGAUGGAUGCCCGCUGUUGGUCUGAACAGGUCAGCGGCCAAGCGAAAGCAUUAAGCAUCCCACCUGGGGAGUACGCCGGCAACGGUGAAACUCAAAGGAAUUGACGGGGGCCCGCACAAGCGGAGGAACAUGUGGUUUAAUUCGAUGAUACGCGAGGAACCUUACCCGGGCUUGAAUUGCAGAGGAAGGAUUUGGAGACAAUGACGCCCUUCGGGGUCUCUGUGAAGGUGCUGCAUGGUUGUCGUCAGCUCGUGCCGGGAGGUGUCGGCUUAAGUGCCAUAACGAGCGCAACCCCUCUCCUUAGUUGCCAUCAGGUUAAGCUGGGCACUCUGGGGACACUGCCACCGUAAGGUGUGAGGAAGGUGGGGAUGACGUCAAAUCAGCACGGCCCUUACGUCCGGGGCUACACACGUGUUACAAUGGCAGGUACAGAGAGACGGUUGUACGUAAGUACGAUCAAAUCCUUAAAGCCUGUCUCAGUUCGGACUGGGGUCUGCAACCCGACCCCACGAAGCUGGAUUCGCUAGUAAUCGCGCAUCAGCCAUGGCGCGGUGAAUACGUUCCCGGGCCUUGUACACACCGCCCGUCAAGCCAUGAAAGCCGGGGGCGCCUAAAGUCCGUGACCGUAAGGAGCGGCCUAGGGCGAAACUGGUAAUUGGGGCUAAGUCGAAACAAGGUA
rnacentral:rRNA from 1 species